rnacentral:lncRNA from 1 species
GGCCAAAGUGCUCACAAAAAGUACAAUUUCACUUAAUUUUAAUUUGUUUUUGUGCCAUAUGACAAUGAAUGAAUCUGCUUACAGUGCCAAAAACUUACUUUGCUAAAUGCAAUACAGCUGAAUUCAUUCGGGCCAGCAUCAGCAAAAAGAGCAUAACUUACAUGGCAUGUUUUAUUUUUAGUAUUGGGACAAACUAGGAUAAGGCACACAUUUUGUUCCUAUCUCUGCAACGGCUAACAUUUUAACUUUCACUGGUACACACCUUAAAUAAAAUAAUUGACUGUUAAACAAGGGCACACACACCAGACAGUAACCAACUCCACUGAUGGUUGAAACGAAAAGCCAUUCUAGUCUAUAUAGCAUUCUCAGAGACCGGAUUCCAUGUAAUUAAAAGACAGGUUGUUAUAUUUUCUGGCUUCUUUGUUUUUAUUUAUCUACGUAGGUGCCAGCAAACAGCAUCUGCUAGACCAACUGGGUGACUGAGCACACCUGAUGCACAGAAACUUCAACAGAAUAAAGAGCAAACCAGUCUUACAGUCCAGUUCAAAGGUAUUCCAGUAACUGUCUUUACGCAAUCGCUACAAACAUGACAGUAAAGAGACAGGAGAAUCCCAUAUUGAUGCAAUUCUUCGAAAAGACACUAAAACCACUGGUAACAGCCAUGCGUGGCAAUGAAACUCUGCCAAUGUGCACAGGCCAUCUACCACACAGCUCAGAGAGAAACACUUUGAUUGGAAUGCACUGCAGAUCUGGGACAUGCUUUUGCUGUUACCUACUACAUCAUGUGUUCAGAGAUUACCCACUUCCAGAGCUAAAGAUCAACCUUUGCACUGCUUUUGUGGGAUCACCGGGCCUGUCGGCUAAAACCUUCACAACACUUUUGCAAAAGACAAGAAAAAUAAACCGAAAGACAGAGGCUGUGGUGGACAAAUCUGUUGGAAUGUGGUCAGAUCCCCACUCCGAGUCAGUGUGA